rnacentral:misc_RNA from 1 species
GCAAACUUGGUCAUUUAGAGGAAGUAAAAGUCGUAACAAGGUCUCCGUUGGUGAACCAGCGGAGGGAUCAUUACCGAGUUUACAACUCCCAAACCCCUGUGAACAUACCUAUCGUUGCUUCGGCGGAUCCGCCCCGGCGCCCUCGGGCCCGGACCCAGGCGCCCGCCGGAGGACCCAAACUCUUGUAUCCAUUGAGAUUUUCUGAGUAAAACAAGCAAAUAAAUCAAAACUUUCAACAACGGAUCUCUUGGUUCUGGCAUCGAUGAAGAACGCAGC